ACGGGAUUAUGCCACCGUUAGUAGGGUAGUGGCGGAAGGCAGAGCCAAACCAACGUGUGGGCGCCCUCCUGCUGUGUUCGGCCUCCUAGGAGCGGAUGGGCCUCCUGGAUCGAAGGGAGAGGGGUCCGGCGUUUAUCGUGUUCCUUUUCGCGACUUGGAUGGGGAUAUUGAUGGUGUAUGUAUGGGUGCUGCAUCGAGGAAUCUUGGAGACCGGCUUGAGGAGCAUGAUGGAGAUGUUGGGCGGGGCACUCUGGCAGCAUCACUGGCGGGGGGGGCAUAUGAGGCUGGCAUUGGCGUCGACUGGGACCGAGCGGAAGUGAUUGAACCCAUAGAUUAUGUACAAGAGUUGCAGGUCGCAGAGGGCCUGCGGGUUUAUGGGCGUGGGGGUCGGAGUGUGCUGGCAAGUGGGAGUCGGCCUUCCUUACUUC
rnacentral:lncRNA from 1 species